rnacentral:rRNA from 1 species
GUUCGUAGUGACUGCGGAGGAUCAUUAGUGAAUUUUAGGGUGCUCUCUCGCCUCUUCCUUAACUGGAGAGGUUGUAGAGGGGCCUGACCUCCACUUUCUACCCUGUGCACUAUUUCUAAAAAGACUUGGAAAAGCUUCGGCGGCUCCCUUGUCUUUUUAUAAUCAUUCAUAAACAUGAGUUGAAGAAUGUAACAAAAAUCAUAACAAAAAAAAACUUUCAACAACGGAUCUCUUGGCUCUCGCAUCGAUGAAGAACGCAGCGAAAUGUGAUAAGUAAUGUGAAUUGCAGAAUUCAGUGAAUCAUCGAAUCUUUGAACGCACCUUGCGCUCUCUGGUAUUCCGGAGAGCAUGUCUGUUUGAGUGUCAUGAACUCUUCAACCCGCCCUUUUCUUUAUGAUCAGGUGUCGGUGUUUGGAUUCUGAGCCCUGCUAUUAGCUUAGCUGGUUCGUAAAACAUGAGCAUUUCAAUUUUCAGAUCGGAUUGACUUGGCGUAAUAGACUAUUCGCUGAGGACACUCUUUACUGAGUGGCCGGUUAGAAAUAACGAAGAGCUUCCAACCCCUCUAGUCAAAACUUUUUAAGAUUAGACCUCAAAUCAGGCAGGAUUACCCGCUGAACUUAAGCAUAUCAAUAAGCGGAGGAAAAGAAACUAACAAGGAUUCCCCUAGUAACGGCGAGUGAAGCGGGAAGAGCUCAAAUUUGUAAUCUGGCACCCUCGGUGUCCGAGUUGUAAUCUCGAGAAGUGUUUUCCGCGCUAGACCGCAUACAAGUCUGUUGGAAUACAGCGUCAUGGUGGGUGAGAACCCCGUAACUGAUGCGGAUGCCUAGUGCUUUGUGAUACACUUUCGAAGAGUCGAGUUGUUUGGGAAUGCAGCUCAAAUUGGGUGGUAAAUUCCAUCUAAAGCUAAAUAUUGGCGAGAGACCGAUAGCGAACAAGUACCGUGAGGGAAAGAUGAAAAGCACUUUGGAAAGAGAGUUAACAGUACGUGAAAUUGUUGGAAGGGAAACGCUUGAAGUCAGACUUGCUAUUUGGAGUUCAGCCGCAAGGUGUAUUCUUCAGUUGGCAGGCCAGCAUCAGUUUUCGGGGGGUGGAA